rnacentral:misc_RNA from 1 species
AAAGCGAAAUAUGAACUUCGACUUGGCCGCAUUUUAACUAUCAGGAUAAAAUGGCACCUCAGCUAAGAAAAAUGCUUCAUAGAAAUAUUAUCAAAAAUAUUUUGAUUGGUGCAUCAUUGGGAGUUGCAGCUGGUUGUGCUUGGAAAUUUGGAUAUGUUGAACCAAAAAAAGCCAAGUAUGCAGCUUACUACAAAGAUUUUGAUGCAGAUAAAGCAGCAAAAGAGUUAGAAGCAAGAUUGGCCGCAAAAGGCAUUUCAAUUUGAAGUUACUAAUAUUUAUCAAUGUUACAACGUGAAACUAUUUUAUUGCAAUUUGAUUAUUAUAAAGUUGUGUGUUAUGAUUUAAAAGUUGUUUCUGAUAAUUAA